GGGAAGGGAUUCUGUCAUUGCCUUCUAUGUGGGUGGUGAGUGCAGGCUCUGCUCAUCCUAGUUCAGCAUUCAUCAUCAGUGGCCCUUACUCCCUCUCAUGCCCAUCCAUAUUUGCUUGCUUGCUUGCUGCAAUUUAUGUUCAGAGACGACUAAACUGCAAAAACCUGAAACUUUUAGUUCCUUCUUUCUUCAGAAAACUAAAAACUCUGCAGCAGAUUUAUCUUCAGGUUGAUACUAACGACACAUACUAACUUGAUAGUGUUGGUGUCCUCGGGCGUAGACCACUGUGUGCAGCCUCUUCCAUGGACGUAGCAGCUGCUCCGACCCCGCUGCCGACGCCAUGGAGAUCGUCAAGGUAUCUCUCUUUGCUCUCUCUCUCUCUCUCUCAUGUCAUGCGUGUCCCGGUCGUCAAUUACCCGGAGAUGUUGCUUGUUUUCACUAGUGUACAACAAUUUGUCUAGUACGAGAUUUGACAAGCCAAGAUGAGAUCUUGUAGCGAAAAUUCUUCUGCUGGUCACACAAGUGAGCCUAUCUAUGGCAAUUUUGUCUUGUCUUGAUCAGGUCCAACACUUAACUUUCAUUGUGUGGAACUGGAACGAGCACUUUGCAUUCCUAGGCUGGUGAAUAAGUAUGCAUUGUUUUUAGGGGAAGAUGUUGUCUUGUUAAUUCCUGUAAAUUCCCUUUGACACAAGAGAAUUGUUGUGUGGCUUACUGCUGAGAAAUCUGACAUUCCUCUGAUGCAUUACAUUGCCUCUGCACUAGACUGAUCUUUUUAUGUCCACCCAGAUUGCAUUCCUCGGGAAGAUACUCCUUUCGUCCAUCAAACCUACCGGACAUGAUGGAAAAUCUCCAUCGCGCACGACACCGGUCAUUUUCUCUUGCCAAGCGGUGCUGCAGAAGUUGACGCGGUUUGGGCUUGAAGAUGCACACGAUGGCACCGUCGUCCUCGUGCUUUCUUCGCUGAUGAAGAUGCACUGGAUGGCGUCGUUGUCCUCGGGCUCUCUCCGCUGAUGAAGAUGCACUGGAUGGUGCAGUCGUCCUCGGGCUUUCUCCGCUGAUAAAGAUGCACUGGAUCUCGGCGUCAUCCUCGAGCUUUCUCCAUUGAUGGGUUAGGUUUCAGAAUUAAGCCAUUUAUGUAGUAGUUUGGCUCUGUCAUGUUGUAAUGUUUGUGAUGGAAGGACGCGAAGUACCUGUGCUUCCUGGGAUGUGUAGUGGACUCGAGAUGUUUUUUAUCACCUCAUCUGAGAAGUAGUUGAUGCGUGCGUGUUCCUGUUUGAUCAAAUCUGGUGGAAGUAACAUCUUCAUUGUGAAGGUUGGGAUGUGAAAUGAUGUGCAUCGUUAUGGGAAUUUUCUUUCUGGGUUAACUGCAUCAAGAGUUAAGUUGAUCAUAUUAUU
rnacentral:lncRNA from 1 species